CCUACGGGAGGCAGCAGUGGGGAAUAUUGGGCAAUGGGCGCAAGCCUGACCCAGCAACGCCGCGUGAAGGAAGAAGGCUUUCGGGUUGUAAACUUCUUUUCUGAGGGACGAAGAAAGUGACGGUACCUCAGGAAUAAGCCACGGCUAACUACGUGCCAGCAGCCGCGGUAAUACGUAGGUGGCAAGCGUUAUCCGGAUUUAUUGGGUGGAAAGGGCGUGUAGGCGGGAAAGCAAGUCCGAUGUGAAAACUCAGGGCACAACCCUGAGCCUGCAUUUGAAACUGUUUGUCUUGAGUUCUGGAGAGGUAAUCGGAAUUCCGUGUGUAGCGGUGAAGUGCGUAGAUAUACGGAGGAACACCAGUGGCGAAGGCGGAUUGCUGGACAGUAACUGACGCUGAGGCGCGAAAGCGUGGGGAGCAAACAGGAUUAGAUACCCUUGUAGUC
rnacentral:rRNA from 1 species